rnacentral:rRNA from 1 species
AACGAACGCUGGCGGCAUGCCUAACACAUGCAAGUCGAACGAGACCUUCGGGUCUAGUGGCGCACGGGUGCGUAACGCGUGGGAACCUGCCCUUAGGUUCGGAAUAACUCCCCGAAAGGGGUGCUAAUACCGGAUAAUGUCUUCGGACCAAAGAUUUAUCGCCUUUGGAUGGGCCCGCGUUGGAUUAGCUAGUUGGCAGGGUAAAAGCCUACCAAGGCGACGAUCCAUAGCUGGUCUGAGAGGAUGAUCAGCCACACUGGGACUGAGACACGGCCCAGACUCCUACGGGAGGCAGCAGUGGGGAAUAUUGGACAAUGGGCGAAAGCCUGAUCCAGCAACGCCGCGUGAGUGAUGAAGGCCUUAGGGUUGUAAAGCUCUUUUACCCGGGAUGAUAAUGACAGUACCGGGAGAAUAAGCUCCGGCUAACUCCGUG